ensembl:lncRNA
ACUGUAGCUGAUAACCUGAUAUCAACCUGAUACCGUAGUCAUGCUGAGGCCAUUCAUUGUCUUUAUCUUCUGUGGUGAUGUAUGAGACUAUAAAUGACUGUUAUCAAGCUGAUCAGAGUGAAGAGACUGUACAUGUAGGUUCAUUAUCAUUUCAACACAUACUCAAACCACCCACAGGUCGUAUUGGAUGGACCCACAGGUCAUAUUGAAUGGGCCCACAGGUCGUAUUGGAUGGACCCACAGGUCGUAUUGGAUGGACCCACAGGUCAUAUUGAAUGGACCCACAGGUCGUAUUGAAUGGACCCACAGGUUGUAAUGCCCACAGGUUAUAUUGAAUGGGCACACAGGUUGUAAUGAAUGGGCACACAGGUUGUAAUGAAUGGGCACACAGGUUGUAAUGAAUGGACACACAGGUUGUAAUGAAUGGGCCCACAGGUUGUAUUGAAUGGGCCCACAGGUCGUAUUG